rnacentral:rRNA from 1 species
AUUGAACGCUGGCGGCAGGCCUAACACAUGCAAGUCGAGCGCGCGGCGGACGGGUGAGUAAGGUAUGGGUACUGCCCGAUAGAGGGGGAUAAAUACCGGAAACGGUAGCUAAUACCGCAUACUAUCGGAUAACCCAUAUGGGAUUGGCUAGUAGGUUAGGUAAUGGCUCACCAAGGCGACGAACCCUAGCUGGUCUGAGAGGAUGAUCAGCCACACUGUGACUGAGACACGGCCCAGACUCCUACGGAGGCAGCAGUGGGGAAUAUUGCACAAUGGGCGCAAGCCUGAUGCAGCCAUCCCGCGUGUAUGAUGAAGGCCUUCGGGUUGUAAAGUACUUUUGGCAGAGAAGCGGUAUCUGCAGAAUAAGCACCGGCUAACUACGUGCCAGCAGCCGCGGUAAUAC